UUAAUCUAUGACAUUUCUAUAGGCAUACCCAAUCAGGCGCGAGUGCUCAUUGCACUUGAGCUUUAAUAUUUCGAUAAUCAACGGAGGUGCACAAAGAUCAUUGAAGUUUGUUUGCACCUUCAUUACCUUCAUUUAGGGUGGGCAAUCGUUUGCACCUGCGGUUAUGUGGAAAGAGUUAAAUCGUUAUCGAGUUACUUGGUCAAUGAGAACAAUCGAUUAUCACAUUAAUCCAGUCCCACAUACGCGCAAUACAUAUAGUGAGGUUCGGCGAUACGCGAAAAAUGGACACCUGGGCAUACCAAUAGACCUUUUCUUGAUUCCACGUUUGUCACAUGUACCUACACAGAAACUCUCAACUCUCUUAAGUGGGAAAGGAAGCUGUUUUCAAGAGCACCCCGGGAUAUUAUUGGAGGGCAUGAAGCUGCAGUCAAUGUACGUCAGUGAGCAACCUCCAUUGG